rnacentral:rRNA from 1 species
AUUGAACGCUGGCGGCAUGCCUUACACAUGCAAGUCGAACGGCAGCACGGGAGCAAUCCUGGUGGCGAGUGGCGAACGGGUGAGUAAUAUAUCGGAACGUGCCCGGUCGUGGGGAUAACGUAGCGAAAGCUACGCUAAUACCGCAUACGAUCUACGGAUGAAAGCGGGGGAUCGCAAGACCUCGCGCGAUUGGAGCGGCCGAUAUCAGAUUAGGUAGUUGGUGAGGUAAAGGCUCACCAAGCCGACGAUCUGUAGCUGGUCUGAGAGGACGACCAGCCACACUGGGACUGAGACACGGCCCAGACUCCUACGGAGGCAGCAGUGGGGAAUUUUGGACAAUGGGCGCAAGCCUGAUCCAGCAAUGCCGCGUGCAGGAUGAAGGCCUUCGGGUUGGU